AACGAACGCUGGCGGCAUGCCUAACACAUGCAAGUCGAACGAGACCUUCGGGUCUAGUGGCGCACGGGUGCGUAACGCGUGGGAACCUGCCCUUAGGUUCGGCAUAACUCCCCGAAAGGGGUGCUAAUACCGGCUAAUGUCCUCGGACCAAAGAUUUAUCGACUUUGGAGGGGCCCGCGUUGGAUUAGCUAGUUGGUAGGGUAAAACCCUACCAAGGCGAGGAUCCAUAGCUGGUCUGAGAGGAUGAGCAGCCACACUGGGACUGGGACACGGCCGAGACUACUACGGGAGGGAGCAGUGGGUAAUACUGGAAUGCGGGCGAAAGCCUGAACCAGCUAGGCCGCGUGAGUAACGAAGGCCUUAGGGUAGUAAAGCUCUUUUACCCGGGAUGAUAAUGACAGUACCGAGAGAAUAAGCACCGGCUAACUCCGUG
rnacentral:rRNA from 1 species